rnacentral:rRNA from 1 species
UGGGGAAUAUUGCACAAUGGGCGCAAGCCUGAUGCAGCAACGCCGCGUGAACGAUGAAGGUCUUCGGAUCGUAAAGUUCUGUUGCAGGGGAAGAUAAUGACGGUACCCUGUGAGGAAGCCCCGGCUAACUACGUGCCAGCAGCCGCGGUAAUACGUAGGGCGCUAGCGUUAUCCGGAUUUACUGGGCGUAAAGGGUGCGUAGGUGGUCUUUCAAGUCGGUGGUUAAAGGCUACGGCUCAACCGUAGUUAGCCUCCGAAACUGGAAGACUUGAGUGCAGGAGAGGAAAGUGGAAUUCCCAGUGUAGCGGUGAAAUGCGUAGAUAUUGGGAGGAACACCAGUAGCGAAGGCGGCUUUCUGGACUGCAACUGACACUGAGGCACGAAAGCGUGGGUAGCAAACAGG